rnacentral:rRNA from 1 species
UGGGGAAUUUUGCACAAUGGGGGAAACCCUGAUGCAGCGACGCCGCGUGAUUUAGAAGGCCUUCGGGUUGUAAAAAUCUUUUCUAUGGGAAGAAAAUGACAGUACCAUAGGAAUAAGGACCGGCUAAUUACGUGCCAGCAGCCGCGGUAAUACGUAAGGUCCGAGCGUUGUCCGGAAUCAUUGGGCGUAAAGGGUACGUAGGCGGGUAAGCAAGUUAGAAGUGAAAUCCUAUAGCUCAACUAUAGUAAGCUUUUAAAACUGCUCAUCUUGAGGUAUGGAAGGGAAAGUGGAAUUCCUAGUGUAGCGGUGAAAUGCGCAGAUAUUAGGAGGAAUACCGGUGGCGAAGGCGACUUUCUGGCCAUAACCUGACGCUGAGGUACGAAAGCGUGGGUAGCAAAAAGG